rnacentral:rRNA from 1 species
GACGAACGCUGGCGGCGUGCCUAAUACAUGCAAGUAGAACGCACAGUUUAUACCGUAGCUUGCUACACCAUAGACUGUGAGUUGCGAACGGGUGAGUAACGCGUAGGUAACCUGCCUGGUAGCGGGGGAUAACUAUUGGAAACGAUAGCUAAUACCGCAUAAUAUUAAUUAUUGCAUGAUAAUUAAUUGAAAGGUGCAAUUGCACCACUACCAGAUGGACCUGCGUUGUAUUAGCUAGUAGGUGAGGUAACGGCUCACCUAGGCGACGAUACAUAGCCGACCUGAGAGGGUGAUCGGCCACACUGGGACUGAGACACGGCCCAGACUCCUACGGGAGGCAGCAGUAGGGAAUCUUCGGCAAUGGACGAAAGUCUGACCGAGCAACGCCGCGUGAGUGAAGAAGGGUUUCGGAUCGUAAAGCUCUGUUGUAAGAGAAGAACGGGUGUGAGAGUGGAAAGUUCACACUGUGACGGUAGCUGACCAGAAAGGGACGGCUAACUACGUG